CGCUGGCGGCGUGCCUAAUACAUGCAAGUCGAACGAACUCUGGUAUUGAUUGGUGCUUGCAUCAUGAUUUACAUUUGAGUGAGUGGCGAACUGGUGAGUAACACGUGGGAAACCUGCCCAGAAGCGGGGGAUAACACCUGGAAACAGAUGCUAAUACCGCAUAACAACUUGGACCGCAUGGUCCGAGUUUGAAAGAUGGCUUCGGCUAUCACUUUUGGAUGGUCCCGCGGCGUAUUAGCUAGAUGGUGGGGUAACGGCUCACCAUGGCAAUGAUACGUAGCCGACCUGAGAGGGUAAUCGGCCACAUUGGGACUGAGACACGGCCCAAACUCCUACGGGAGGCAGCAGUAGGGAAUCUUCCACAAUGGACGAAAGUCUGAUGGAGCAACGCCGCGUGAGUGAAGAAGGGUUUCGGCUCGUAAAACUCUGUUGUUAAAGAAGAACAUAUCUGAGAGUAACUGUUCAGGUAUUGACGGUAUUUAACCAGAAAGCCACGGCUAACUACGUGCCAGCAGCCGCGGUAAUACGUAGGUGGCAAGCGUUGUCCGGAUUUAUUGGGCGUAAAGCGAGCGCAGGCGGUUUUUUAAGUCUGAUGUGAAAGCCUUCGGCUCAACCGAAGAAGUGCAUCGGAAACUGGGAAACUUGAGUGCAGAAGAGGACAGUGGAACUCCAUGUGUAGCGGUGAAAUGCGUAGAUAUAUGGAAGAACACCAGUGGCGAAGGCGGCUGUCUGGUCUGUAACUGACGCUGAGGCUCGAAAGUAUGGGUAGCAAACAGGAUUAGAUACCCUGGUAGUCCAUACCGUAAACGAUGAAUGCUAAGUGUUGGAGGGUUUCCGCCCUUCAGUGCUGCAGCUAACGCAUUAAGCAUUCCGCCUGGGGAGUACGGCCGCAAGGCUGAAACUCAAAGGAAUUGACGGGGGCCCGCACAAGCGGUGGAGCAUGUGGUUUAAUUCGAAGCUACGCGAAGAACCUUACCAGGUCUUGACAUACUAUGCAAAUCUAAGAGAUUAGACGUUCCCUUCGGGGACAUGGAUACAGGUGGUGCAUGGUUGUCGUCAGCUCGUGUCGUGAGAUGUUGGGUUAAGUCCCGCAACGAGCGCAACCCUUAUUAUCAGUUGCCAGCAUUAAGUUGGGCACUCUGGUGAGACUGCCGGUGACAAACCGGAGGAAGGUGGGGAUGACGUCAAAUCAUCAUGCCCCUUAUGACCUGGGCUACACACGUGCUACAAUGGAUGGUACAACGAGUUGCGAACUCGCGAGAGUAAGCUAAUCUCUUAAAGCCAUUCUCAGUUCGGAUUGUAGGCUGCAACUCGCCUACAUGAAGUCGGAAUCGCUAGUAAUCGCGGAUCAGCAUGCCGCGGUGAAUACGUUCCCGGGCCUUGUACACACCGCCCGUCACACCAUGAGAGUUUGUAACACCCAAAGUCGGUGGGGUAACCUUUUAGGAACCAGCCGCCUAAGGUGGG
rnacentral:rRNA from 2 species